ACCAUUUUAAAGUAGUGGAAAGAUAAUAAUUUUAAUUAGGGUAGAUAUGGAAAAAAAUUAAAAAAUUGUCCAGCUAUAAAAAUUAAACAAUUUUAAUAAAUAAAAAUUUAGCCUAUUAAUAUAUAGCUGGCUCAUAAGAGUGCCAGCAGCCGCGGUUAUACUCUUAGCAAACUAUUAUAUAGCAUAAUCUUUUUCACUAAGUAAAAAUAAUUUUCUUUAUACUAGUAAAAUAGAUUAGAAUUUUUUUUCAAAAUUAUUAAUAAAUUAAUAUUUAAAAUAAGAUAAAGAAACUAGGAUUAGAUACCCUACUAUCCUUAAAGUAAUAAAAAGUAUUAUGGGCACUAACAUUUACUUAAAUGUAAACCCAAAUUUUAUGGCGGCAAUUAUAAUUAACAGGGGAACUUACCGCAUAAUAGACAACCACCAAGAAGAUAACCUUAAAAAAAAGUUUGUAUACCGUCGUAUAAUAAGUCCUUAGGGGGCUAAUAAAAUAUAAUAAAAUAUACUAUUACAGAUCAAGGUGCAACAUAUAUUAAGGCGCAGGCGAGUUACAGUAAUUAUCAUUUCGAAAUAGGCCUUUAACUGCCUAAGAAGAUGGACUUGUAAGUAUAUAUUAUUUUUCAUAAAAGUAGAAUGACCCAUAUAAUUGUGCACAAAUCGCCCGUCAUUCUCUUUAAUCUAAAAGAGACAAGUCGUAACAUAGUAGAGGUAGUGGAAGCUGCCUCUGUGUAGAUAUACUACAAAUUU
rnacentral:rRNA from 1 species